ensembl:lncRNA
AUGCUCUCAUCAUGGCUAAUCCCUUGUUCUUCUUUUUUGCUCCUUAUAACUCUGCCAGAAGAAUCCCUCAUCUGUGGUUCCUGUUUGAACAACACACAGAAAAAGACAUUGUUAGAGCGCUCUCAAAAGGAAGAGAUCUUGAAGCCCCCUGCUGAUUGUAUGGGGUGGAUUCUGAAUUCUCAACCCUCACGUCCCCUCAGGGCCGUCAGGACCGCCACCAUCAGCCCAGGUAAUCCCUAAUAGCUUAACUGCAGACCUAUCCCAAAAUAUCCAACAACAAACCCACCCCUACACUUCCAUCUACCAAGCUUACCAUAUGCCACACAAUUAGACCAUGUUGAGUAAACAUCACUUAACCCACUUUAAAGCUGAUGAGCUAAUUGAGUUUAAUUACAGUCCCACUGUUAUUGCAAGAAUGCCUGGAGGGAAGGAAUUUGUUCUAAUUAAGAGGCUGCUGUUUGAGGUGCUGCUGUGUCAUGAAAUCCAUUUCUGGGAUGAAGACCUGUACUUCACGCUGAGAGUUUUAUACAUUUGAUAUCACAUCAGGACAUUGCUGUCAUUUAGAGGAAUCAGAAAUAAUCAAUAAUCAAAUAAUAAUACCCAAGGAAGGAAAUAGCUUGCUGUGUUCAUAGAUGAAAAUAACUAAAGGGAUUGUUGACCCACAAAUGAAAAUUCAUCAUUUACUCAACCUAAAAGAAGAAAACUAGUCAUCAUUUACUCACCCUCAUGUUCUAAUGAUAAAAAACAAAGAUAUGAUAGGAUUCUUAAGAUUUUGUUAAUAGUAACCAAUGUUAAUGGUAACCAAAAUAUUACCAACAUUUUUGAGUCAGAAAGCGUGAGAAGUAUCAAAUUAUGUCAAAAUUCAAACAUUUAUAAAAUAUUACAGUUGUCAUAGACAAUAUUUGUAAUGUUAAACAUAAAAAUAAAUGCAUAUCCAAAAAUAUACGAUUAAAAAUG